rnacentral:misc_RNA from 1 species
GAUGAAGAACGUAGCGAAAUGCGAUACUUGGUGUGAAUUGCAGAAUCCCGUGAACCAUCGAGUCUUUGAACGCAAGUUGCGCCUCAAGCCAUUAGGUUGAGGGCACGUCUGCCUGGGCGUCACAUAUCGUUGCCUGAUGCCAGUUUCCUCGUGAUGGGUGACUGUGCAGGGCGAAUGAUGGCUUCCCGUGAGCAUUGUUGCCUCAUGUUGGUUGAAAAUUGAGUCCUUGGUAGGGAGCGCCGUGAUAGAUGGUGGUUGAGUGACGAACGAGACCCAAUCAUGUGAGACCCCUACCGAAUUUGGCCUUCAUGACCCACAUGCGUCUUUGGAACGCUCAUGACGAGACCUCAGGUCAGGCGGGGCUACCCGCUGAGUUUAAGCAUAUCAAUAAGCGGAGGA